rnacentral:rRNA from 1 species
CAUGCAGUCGAACGAUGAACCACAUUCGGUGGGGAUUAGUGGCGAACGGGUGAGUAACACGUGGGCAAUCUGCCCUUCACUCUGGGACAAGCCCUGGAAACGGGGUCUAAUACCGGAUAACACUUCCACUCUCCUGAGUGGAGGUUAAAAGCUCCGGCGGUGAAGGAUGAGCCCGCGGCCUAUCAGCUAGUUGGUGAGGUAAUGGCUCACCAAGGCGACGACGGGUAGCCGGCCUGAGAGGGCGACCGGCCACACUGGGACUGAGACACGGCCCAGACUCCUACGGGAGGCAGCAGUGGGGAAUAUUGCACAAUGGGCGAAAGCCUGAUGCAGCGACGCCGCGUGAGGGAUGACGGCCUUCGGGUUGUAAACCUCUUUCAGCAGGGAAGAAGCGAAAGUGACGGUACCUGCAGAAGAAGCGCCGGCUAACUACGUGCCAGCAGCCGCGGUAAUACGUAGGGCGCGAGCGUUGUCCGGAAUUAUUGGGCGUAAAGAGCUCGUAGGCGGCUUGUCACGUCGAUUGUGAAAGCUCGGGGCUUAACUCCGAGUCUGCAGUCGAUACGGGCUAGCUAGAGUGUGGUAGGGGAGAUCGGAAUUCCUGGUGUAGCGGUGAAAUGCGCAGAUAUCAGGAGGAACACCGGUGGCGAAGGCGGAUCUCUGGGCCAUUACUGACGCUGAGGAGCGAAAGCGUGGGGAGCGAA